CCCACACUCCAGUCACAGGAGCCAUCUCAUCUCUCCAUUAUGCCAAAAACAUUCUAGCUCUGCAGGCAUUUAUACAUCUCUAACUAAUUUAUCUUGUUUAUCCUCCAUGGAAUAUAUCUUGUAUAGACACAUUUAAGUUGGGUCCCCAGUGAAGCCAGCUUACUGUCUGGAGCGGCUGAAAUUCCUCUGUGCCACACUUCAGGUACUCUCUUGCUGAGCUGUGAUCCCUCUCCAAGCUCUGAGUAUCUAUUGCAGGUUUGCACAGGCAGGGGGAAGAGGAAGAAAGAGACUACCAAGUAUGGCAAGUUCUGUUUUCUUCUUUAUAUAUAAUUGUGCUUUGCCAUUUUGCAGGGGAUAAAAACCCUUCUAUUAGUGUAGAAACAUAAACUGUAUAAUAUUUUUUGGAUUUUUUUUUAUCAGCAGAGAAAAGACAGGAAGAGUCGGUAUUUCAUAUUGAAACCUAAAAAUGGGACACAGUGUAUUCUUUACCAACAAAAGAGAAGAGGGUGCAAUAAAUACUUGAAGAUAAAAUUUUGUUGAUUGUUUUGGGCUACUAAAGUGAUAAUACUGGCUACAUCUCACCCAUACAUCCUCACGCAGUUGAGGACUGACAUGGUACAAGAAAAAUCUGUGUCCAGAUGUUACAUUGUAUUUUGUCCCCAUCCAGUCAUCUCAUGAUAUUUUUGUGUUAAGAACACUUUUGCCAUCUCUCUUCUCUUCCAUCUACAUCAUAAAAAUCUAGGACAAAAUGACUAUACUCAUCAGUAUCCUAUUACAGAAGUGGUAUGAACAUAUUUGAAUCUGCAUGGAACAGGAUUAAAACUCUUGAAGUAGCAAGCUUGACAAAUUGUUUAAGCAUAAAAAAAAAGUCAUAGUCUUAAAAUUAAAUUUGAUACAGAAGCAUUGUAGGAAUGUCUUACAUAAAACAGAGAUUUCAGUUCUUGGCAUUCCUGCUGACAGGGCAACAGAGGCCCAGAAAUCAAAAGACUUCUGCUGGAAAAGGAAUAUUCUUACUUGCUAUAUCCCUAUUCCUGUGAACACAAAAACAUGCUGAGACAAAGCUUUAAAUUCCCUACUUCAUGCACAAGAUAAGGAUUUUAUUUUGUUCUGCAAAACUGUAAUUAAUCUGAUGCUAGAGUUGAAUGAUACCUGUAGAGCAUAUGAAACUUGGAAUGUCAAACAACUUAGAAAACCACAAUGCUAUCAGCCCUUGCCUUACAAAUUGCACUUUCUGUAGGAUGGGAAAACUCAACAAGUCCCCACUGUCCCUUUCAUAAAGGCAUAAGCAGUUUUGCACAAGAUUCAUUUUGCUGACAUCCAAGUCUAACCUGGUUUUAAACUAUAGAGCAUUUUCUCUCACUGGACACCCGAGCUUUUUGGGGCAGGACUCUGAAAACCCUACAGUUUUGGAGUGGCUGUAGCUAGAAUUAUUUCUCCAAAAAGGUUCUUAAAGAGUGAAAAAAGAAAAUUAGAUAAAAGCCUAAUUGUGUUGAACAAAGCCUGGAAAUUCUCAAAGAAAACUGACUCAGAAAAAAACAAGACUUGUACACAGCUGUUCUCCUCACUGUGUGUUUAAAGGUGAGUUGCUACUUCCAGGCAUCUCAGCAAUUUUUUGAGUUGCAGUGAACUGCAGCAUUCUCUGGCCCCUGGGCAGAUCUGAGUCACUGCUCAAAGCUCUCUCUGCUCCCGACUGCACUAUUUGUUUAAGCAUGAGCUGCAGACUCCCAGGUCAGUACAGUCAUUCUUGCCCCUCUUACGUUUCCCUCUCAGCCAUCUUCUCCUCACAGGUCUUGAUGCCUAAAAAAACACAUAAUACAUAUUCAGAAAAGCAAGUAAAAGAGAUGCAAAUUCUAUCAUAAAUCUUGAUGAAAACAUCCAGUAUGGUCCUCCAUGUGUACAGGUGUCAAGAACAAUACUGAGCUGCAAUGCAAAUUCCUGGUCAGAAGAAAGAUUCUCCUUGCAAAACCAUGAUCUUGUCCAAAUUCCUUCCUAGAACUCUUCUCUUAGGGCAUGUUCAGACCUACAAACUGUUCCAAAUUGUCCAAGAGAAGGAAACAGGGCAGCCUCAGGGGGUGCCCAUCUCCAUUGACCACAAAUCUACUGAAAGCACUGGCAAUGUCUCAGACUUCUGGUAAGCAGUUGGACUGAAAUAAGAAGAGCAGCUUUCUAGCUUCAGGCCACUUAGAAAAGCUAUAGGAAAAGAAAAAGCAAAUUUUUUAGAAAGCAAUUUGUAGACCGGCUGUUUACUGCUCUUCUCUGCCUGGAUGGAAAAUCCUUUUAUGGAGUAGCUUAGAACAAAAGAUCAGUACAAGUGUAAAACUUCUUGUCAGAGUUAUUGCAGCAAA